CUGUGCUUGCGCUCGGCUUUCCGCCUGGCCUUUCCCCCAGCGAGAGCCGCACUUCCGUUCCCAGAUUUUUCGCGGUGCCGGCGGCCAUACCCCUCCUCGGGGACUGGAGUUGGAGAGAACACAAGCGAAGAAAGCUCUUCCAGUGGGGUCCUCCAGUACCAACGCGUUCGGCGCUGUGACUUGGACUAGCUUUCUGUGUAGCUCUCACAGCCGUAUCACCUGUGUUUUUAAUUUACCGUCGCAGAGUAACGAACUGUUUCCUUGUCUGUGUAUAGGCAGUGUUUGUUGUUCACUUGCUUUUCCUGUAGCCGGGUUCGCAGCACAGAGAUUUAGAACCGGCGUGGGUUUACCCCAUUCCUGCUACUGGGAGUGGGACUCGAUCAUGUGAUCUUUUGGGACUUGAGUUUGAGGGAGUUGAGAUAUUUCAAUUUACUGCUUGGUGAACCAGCGCUCCAGAGGAUCUAACAACCAAAAGGUGGCAGAGCCAGGAAUGUGUCUGACUGCUCACCACAUUGACUGUUCCGCGAGAGGGGGAUCAAGAGUGGCCAGAGGGAAAUGGCAGGAAGUCGAGGCUGAAAUGAGAAGUACAGAAAGAAAGAAGAGAGGUUUCUGUUUGAAGCUGCAGUGAAAUAGGGAGUCCUCCACUGCUGAGGAAGUCUUUCAGUUUCAAAUAACAGAAAAUUCAUUGAAAAUUGGCUUAUUGCAUGGGAUUUAAUGACUCACGGAACUGAAAAGCACAACACCACGAUGAUUUCACAAUGACUUCCAUCUUGACUUACACUUUUAAAAGUCUUCCCAGUACGUCAAAAUGGGCCCACAGAUUUUCUUUAAGACCUCUGAGCUGUUCGUCCCAGCUACAAGCUGCCCCAGCUGUCCAUACCAAAUCGAAGAAAACCUCAGCCAAACCCAAUAUAAGGAAUAUUGUCGUGAUGGAGGGCAUUCGCAUUCCAUUUUUACUAUGAGGCACUUCCAGUACGAGUAAGAAUCUGAAUCUUUAGCAGCAGGAAAGUGAGGACAGAGGAUCCUCCUUGUACUUAGCAGCUGCACAGUAGGAAGAGAGACUUCCAUCAAGAAUGCUACCUUCCUUUUGUCUAGGAAGAUGGAUCUGUUGCCAGCCCCUCAAAGAUCUGUGUUAAACAACUGGGGUGGAUCACUGUCUCUGGGCCACCCAUUUGGAGCCACUGGCUGUUGGCCGGUCAUGGCAGCUGCCAAUAGGUUAUGGAAGGAAGGAGGCCAAUAUGGCUUAGUGGCUGCCUGUGCAGCUGGAGGGCAGGGCCAUGCUAUGAUAGUAGAAGCUUAUCCAAAAUAAUAGAUCAAGAAGAGGCAACCUGAAUUUCUGUGUAACAUUCACGCUAGGCAAUGCCAUUUCAGUGCAAUACUAAAGGAGAUCUAUAGUUUCUAGCUCCUCUGAGGAAAACAAAUUUAUGGCCUUCUGGUAAACACUCUGCAGUAGCUUUGCUGGUUUCUGAGCUUUCCAAUAAUCACAGCUUACUGCUUUCAGGGAUUUCUUAGUCACUGGAAUCUCACCCAGUGAUACGCUGAAGCAAUCGCUUUUGGUCUCUCUUUUCAUUAAAGGCUUAGUGAGUGGUUGCAGCUUGGGAAAGAAGUUAAUUAGAUUUGGAAUCAUCUUUGUAACAUUUGCAAAUUAUGCUCAUUCCUAUUUAUUACCUAAAGAUAAGUGUUUUCUAGAAAAUACACACCAGUGUGCCUACAUGAACUUAAGUAUGGAAAGAUAAUUUAGAAUCUAAACAUGACUGAAAACUUAACAGUAAAUGUUUACAUACAUAAAUACCAUGUUUGUUAACCUUAAUAAAAUGGAAAAGUAUUGGA